rnacentral:rRNA from 1 species
UACGUAGGGUGCAAGCGUUAAUCGGAAUUACUGGGCGUAAAGCGUGCGCAGGCGGUUGUACAAGACAGAGGUGAAAUCCCCGGGCUUAACCCUGGGAACUGCCUUUGUGACUGUACGGCUAGAGUGUGUCAGGAGGGGGUAGAAUUCCACGUGGUAGCAGUGAAAUGCGUAGAUAUGAUGGAGGAAUACCGAUGGCGAAGGCAGCCCC